AUUUUGCUGUUUUUUUCUCAGCAAUUGACUUGAAAAAUGGUUCUGGAGCUGUGUACCAGGGACCUGCAAGAAGUUCUGCUGAUACCACCUUCACACUCUCAGAUGAGGAUUUCAUGGAUGUGGUGCAACAGAAGACCAAUCCCCAAAAGGCAUUCUUUUCUGGUAAACUGAAAGUGAAGGGGAACAUCAUGCUGAGCCAGAAGCUGCAAAUGAUCCUGAAAGAUUAUGCCAAACUCUGAACUUCCUGAUCAUCUACCGUAGUAGUGAAGAAGUUCAGAAGACAGAAAAUCCAAUUAUUUCAGAAGCAGCAAUUAAAACAUUUUGGGGAUUACUUAACAUAAAGCUGAUUCAUUAUAUUGCUAAUAUACAAGCUAUUUUACUUGCUGUAGACACAAAAUCAUAAAAUGAUUCUAAGCAUUAAUAUCCUAUCCUUGUUUCUCUGCAGCAAUAAAGAAUGAUACUUCUCUCAUUGUACAUCUUUAUCUGAAUAAAAAAUUCUUACAAAGAUGCAUAUAUUUCUGUAUUAAUUCUAAAGAAAAUUAAAUGACUAUACCUCUUUGAUAACUUCUA